GUUUUUAUAGUUUAAUUAAAACAUUGAUUUUGUAAAUCAAAAAUAUAUAAUCCUGUAUUAAA
rnacentral:tRNA from 1 species